GCGGAUGUGGCGAAAUUGGCAGACGCGCUAGACUUAGGAUCUAGUGGGCGACCGUGGGGGUUCAAGUCCCUUCAUCCGCACCA
rnacentral:tRNA from 1 species